GAUGAACGCUGGCGGCGUGCUUAACACAUGCAAGUCGAACGGUGAACACGGAGCUUGCUCUGUGGGAUCAGUGGCGAACGGGUGAGUAACACGUGAGCAACCUGCCCCUGACUCUGGGAUAAGCGCUGGAAACGGCGUCUAAUACUGGAUAUGUGACGUGACCGCAUGGUCUGCGUUUGGAAAGAUUUUUCGGUUGGGGAUGGGCUCGCGGCCUAUCAGCUUGUUGGUGAGGUAAUGGCUCACCAAGGCGUCGACGGGUAGCCGGCCUGAGAGGGUGACUGGCCACACUGGGACUGAGACACGGCCCAGACUCCUACGGGAGGCAGCAGUGGGGAAUAUUGCACAAUGGGCGCAAGCCUGAUGCAGCAACGCCGCGUGAGGGAUGACGGCCUUCGGGUUGUAAACCUCUUUUAGCAGGGAAGAAGCGAAAGUGACGGUACCUGCAGAAAAAGCGCCGGCUAACUACGUG
rnacentral:rRNA from 1 species